rnacentral:ncRNA from 1 species
AAGGAGAAACCGAAAAUCCUUAAGAGUAGGGA